rnacentral:rRNA from 1 species
UGGGGAAUAUUGCACAAUGGGCGCAAGCCUGAUGCAGCAACGCCGCGUGAGGGACGACGGCCUUCGGGUUGUAAACCUCUUUUGGCAGGGAAGAAGCGAAAGUGACGGUACCUGCAGAAAAAGCACCGGCUAACUACGUGCCAGCAGCCGCGGUGAUACGUAGGGUGCAAGCGUUGUCCGGAAUUAUUGGGCGUAAAGAGCUCGUAGGCGGUUUGUCGCGUCUGCUGUGAAAACCCGAGGCUCAACCUCGGGCCUGCAGUGGGUACGGGCAAACUAGAGUGCGGUAGGGGAGAUUGGAAUUCCUGGUGUAGCGGUGGAAUGCGCAGAUAUCAGGAGGAACACCGAUGGCGAAGGCAGACCUCUGGGCCGUAACUGACGCUGAGGAGCGAAAGCAUGGGGAGCGAACA